rnacentral:misc_RNA from 1 species
GGUGGUUGCCCUCUCGCUGUUCUUCAGCUGAUGGUUUGUUUGGAUUGGCUUAAAUUGUGUGGUGUUUAGCUAAAAUUAUACUCCAUAUUAACUGAAUUUAGGCGCACUAUACUACUACUCCUUGUUCAGGCUGUAAUGAUGACAAAUGAAGUUUUCUAGAGUUGGGUCAGGCAUAUUGGAGCCAUUGUUUUGCUAACUGAGGUCUGCAGCCAUGGUGGUUGCUUUGUCUCCUUUU